GACGAACGCUGGCGGCGUGCUUAACACAUGCAAGUGGAGCGACGAACCAGGCUUCGGCCUGGGGCAGAGCCGCGAACGGGUGAGUAACACGUGGGUAACGUGCCCCAAUGAUCGGGACAACCCGGGGAAACCCGGGCUAAUACCGAAUGUGCUCCCCUCACACCAGGGAGGGGUGGAAAGGAAGCUUCGGCCUCCGCAUUGGGAUCGGCCCGCGGCCCAUUAGCUUGUUGGUGAGGUAACGGCUCACCAAGGCUGCGAUGGGUAGCUGGUCUGAGAGGACGAUCAGCCACACUGGGACUGAGACACGGCCCAGACUCCUACGGGAGGCAGCAGUGGGGAAUCUUGCGCAAUGCGCGAAAGCGUGACGCAGCAACGCCGCGUGGGGGAAGAAGGCCUUCGGGUUGUAAACCCCUUUCAGGAGGGACGAAGCCCGGGCGGUAAAUAGCCGACCCGGGUGACGGUACCUCCAGAAGAAGCCCCGGCUAACUACGUGCCAGCCGCCGCAGUAAGAC
rnacentral:rRNA from 1 species